UACACUCCUACGGGAGGCAGCAGUGGGGAAUUUUGGGCAAUGGGCGAAAGCCUGAUCCAGCAAUGCCGCGUGAGUGAAGAAGGCCUUCGGGUUGUAAAGCUCUUUUGUCAGGGAAGAAACGGUGAAAGCUAAUAUCUUUUGCUAAUGACGGUACCUGAAGAAUAAGCACCGGCUAACUACGUGCCAGCAGCCGCGGUAAUACGUAGGGUGCAAGCGUUAAUCGGAAUUACUGGGCGUAAAGCGUGCGCAGGCGGUUUUGUAAGUCUGAUGUGAAAUCCCCGGGCUCAACCUGGGAAUUGCAUUGGAGACUGCAAGGCUAGAAUCUGGCAGAGGGGGGUAGAAUUCCACGUGUAGCAGUGAAAUGCGUAGAUAUGUGGAGGAACACCGAUGGCGAAGGCAGCCCCCUGGGUCAAGAUUGACGCUCAUGCACGAAAGCGUGGGGAGCAAACAGGAUUAGAUACCCGAGUAGUCCCAUG
rnacentral:rRNA from 1 species